UACGUAGGUGGCAAGCGUUGUCCGGAUUUACUGGGCGUAAAGAGCGCGCAGGCGGUCGUUCAAGUCGCGUGUGAAAGCCCCCGGCUCAACUGGGGAGGGUCACGCGAUACUGGUCGACUCGAAGGCAGGAGAGGGUAGUGGAAUUCCCGGUGUAGUGGUGAAAUGCGUAGAUAUCGUGAGGAACACCAGAGGCGAAGGCGGCUACCUGGACAAUUGCUGACGCUCAGGCACGAAAGCGUGGGGAGCAAAAGGG
rnacentral:rRNA from 1 species